UACGUAGGGGCAAGCGUUGUCCGGAAUCAUUGGCGUAAGAGCGCGUAGGCGGCCCAGUCAGUCCGCUCUGAAAGUCAGGGCUAACCCUGAAUGCGGGUGGAUACUGCUGGGCUAGAGUCCGGAAGAGGCGAGUGGAUUCCUGGUGUAGCGGUGAAAAUGCGCAGAUAUCAGGAGGAACCACCGAUGGCGAAGGCAGCUCGCUGGGGACGGUACUG
rnacentral:rRNA from 1 species